GACGAACGCUGGCGGCGUGCUUAACACAUGCAAGUCGAACGGAAAGGCCCUGCUUUUGUGGGGUGCUCGAUUGGCGAACGGGUGAGUAACACGUGAGUAACCUGCCCUUGACUUUGUGAGAACUUCAGGAAAAUGGGGCUAAUACCGGGUAGGAGCUCCUGCUGCAUGGUGGGGGUUGGAAAGUGUCGGCGGUUGGGGAUGGACUCGCGGCUUAUCAGCUUGUUUGUGUGGUAGUUGCUUACCAAGGCUUUGACGGGUAGCCGGCCUGAGAGGGUGACCGGCGACAUUGGGACUGAGAUACGGAGCAGACUGCUACGGGCGGCAGAAGUGGGGAAUAUUGCACAAUGGGCGGAAGUGUGAUGCAGCAACGCCGCGUGCGGGAUGCCCGCCUUCGAGUUGUAAACCGCUUUCGCCUGUGACGUAGAGUGAGUGACGGUAAUGGGUCAAGAAGCAACGGCUAACUACGUG
rnacentral:rRNA from 1 species